UACGGAGGGUGCGAGCGUUGUCCGGAAUCAUUGGGCGUAAAGGGCGCGUAGGUGGCCCGGUCAGUCAGUGGUGAAAGCUCGAUGCUCAACAUCGAGUCGGCCACGGAUACUGGGUUGCUCGAGCACUGUAGGGGCAGAUGGAAUUCCGGGUGUAGCGGUGGAAUGCGUAGAGAUCCGGAAGAACACCGGUGGCGAAGGCGGUCUGCUGGGCAGUUGCUGACACUGAGGCGCGACAGCGUGGGAGCAAACAGG
rnacentral:rRNA from 1 species